rnacentral:rRNA from 1 species
UACAGAGGGUGCUAGCGUUGUUCGGAAUCAUUGGGCGUAAAGGGCGCGUAGGCGGCCUACUAAGUCAGACGUGAAAUCCCCCGGCUUAACCUGGGAACUGCGUCUGAUACUGGGAGGCUUGAGUAUGGGAGAGGGAUGUAGAAUUCCAGGUGUAGCGGUGAAAUGCGUAGAUAUCUGGAGGAAUACCGGUGGCGAAGGCGGCAUCCUGGACCAUAACUGACGCUGAGGCGCGAAAGCUAGGGGAGCAAACGGG